GAUGAAGAACGCAGCGAAAUGCGAUACGUAAUGUGAAUUGCAGAUUUCAGUGAAUCAUCGAAUCUUUGAACGCACAUUGCGCCCGCUAGUAUUCUGGCGGACAUGCCUGUUCGAGCGUCAUUUCAACCAUCAAGCCCCCGGCUUGCGUUGGAGCCCUGCGGCUGCCGCAGGCUCCCAAAUCCAGUGGCGGGCUCGUCGUCGUACCGAGUGCAGUAAACAUCCUCGCUCAGGGAACGUGACGGGUUCUUGCCGUGAAACCCCCCACAUAUCAAGGUUGACCUCGGAUCAGGUAGGAAUACCCGCUGAACUUAAGCAUAUCAAUAAGCGGAGGA
rnacentral:misc_RNA from 1 species